AGUGAACGCUGGCGGUAGGCCUAACACAUGCAAGUCGAACGGCAGCACAGGAGAGCUUGCUCUCUGGGUGGCGAGUGGCGGACGGGUGAGGAAUACAUCGGAAUCUACCUUUUCGUGGGGGAUAACGUAGGGAAACUUACGCCAAUACCGCAUACGACCUACGGGUGAAAGUGGGGGACCGCAAGGCCUCACGCGAUUAGAUGAGCCGAUGUCCGAUUAGCUAGUUGGCGGGGUAAUGGCCCACCAAGGCGACGAUCGGUAGCUGGUCUGAGAGGAUGAUCAGCCACACUGGAACUGAGACACGGUCCAGACUCCUACGGGAGGCAGCAGUGGGGAAUAUUGGACAAUGGGCGCAAGCCUGAUCCAGCCAUACCGCGUGGGUGAAGAAGGCCUUCGGGUUGUAAAGCCCUUUUGUUGGGAAAGAAAUCCUGUCGAUUAAUACUCGGUGGGGAUGACGGUACCCAAAGAAUAAGCACCGGCUAACUUCGUGCCAGCAGCCGCCGUAAUAC
rnacentral:rRNA from 1 species